UUGCAUUUAUGUCAGACCUUCCAGCAAUUUCCGUGGACUGAUUUCCCGUUGCCGACCCUGCCUGCCUGUCUGGACUUCCCUACCUUGCCUGUGCCCCGGUCAACGACUCAGCCUUCUGUCCCCGACCACGAGUUUAGCCUCCGCUUCCUCUGUUUUCCGUCUGCCUGAUCCCCUGCCUGUUUCCCAGUCGUUCUCUCUGCCCAUGAAAGCGGAGCGCAGACGGAAUAAGGAGCGUCUGGAGGCCAGCUUGGCCGGCUUGUGUGAGCUGGAGCUGCUCAAGCAGAGGCAGGAAUGCCGGGUGCUUAGCGCUCUGUGCCUCGGGGAUUCUCCGGUUCCCGGCCGUCCGCCUUGGGGAGCUCUACGGUCGGCACGUUGCGCCCUGGACGCACCGAACGCGAACGUGUCAGAUGACUAUAGCCACAAGCUCCAAACUAAUACACUUAUCAACAUUGAAAAAGGAAGUGUGGGGAUUGGAUAAAGUUUAGCGGACCUUGAGAGGAUCACCGUCCUCGGCCGACCACCCAGCGAGACCUGCCGGACCUAACGCCACUAAAAGCUGUGUCAACUACCCCAGUGAGGAGAGCCGAGAUGGAAGCCAAGCUAACCCAGCUAGGACCUAUGACUUCUCCACUAUCCAGCCUGCUUCUGGCUGUCUGAUGUCCGGUCGCAGGAAAAAUAGAUGGAUGAAAUAAGACUUCAGGCGAACCCAGCAACGGGAGGUCGAUGACUUUUGUGUCCACAUCUUGACAGAGACCUGGCUCCAUCGAGGCAUCCCACACGAGCUGUUCUUAAUAUACGAACAGCAGAACGGAGUAGCACAGAGGAGGUGGACUCUGUCAAUGUCGUUUGGUGCUCAAACAUAGUCAAAGUUGAUAGACAAUGCUGGCCAUGUUAUCUGCCCAGAUGUUUGUAUUCCUGUUCUUCCUAAUGACAUUCAAAAAAUGCUCUACAGAA